GGCGGGGUAGCUCAGUGGUAGAGCAGAGGCCUGAAAAGCCUUGUGUCGGUAGUUCGAUUCUACUCCUCGCCACCA
rnacentral:tRNA from 2 species